GACGAACGCUGGCGGCGUGCCUAACACAUGCAAGUCGAACGAGGAUAGAGGAGCUUGCUCUUCUAUUCUAGUGGCGGACGGGUGAGUAACACGUGAGUAACCUGCCUUUCAGAGGGGGAUAACGUCUGGAAACGGACGCUAAUACCGCAUAACAUAGAGGUGUCGCAUGGCGCUUUUAUCAAAUGAGCAAUCCGCUGAGAGAUGGACUCGCGCCCGAUUAGCUAGUUGGUGGGGUAAAGGCCUACCAAGCCGACGAUCGGUAGCCGGACUGAGAGGUUGAACGGCCACAUUGGGACUGAGACACGGCCCAGACUCCUACGGGAGGCAGCAGUGGGGGAUAUUGCACAAUGGGGGAAACCCUGAUGCAGCGACGCCGCGUGGGUGAAGACGGCCUUCGGGUUGUAAAGCCCUGUUGACGGGGACGAUAAUGACGGUACCCGUUCAGAAAGCCACGGCUAACUACGUGCCAGCCGCCGCGGUAAUAC
rnacentral:rRNA from 1 species